UACGUAGGGUGCAAGCGUUAUCCGGAAUUAUUGGGCGUAAAGAGCUCGUAGGCGGUUUGUCGCGUCCGUUGUGAAAACUCGAGGCUCAACCUCGGGCUUGCAGUGGAUACGGGCAGACUAGAGUGCGGUAGGGGAGACUGGAAUUCCUGGUGUAGCGGUGAAAUGCGCAGAUAUCAGGAGGAACACCGAUGGCGAAGGCAGGUCUCUGGGCCGAUACUGACGCUGAGGAGCGAAAGCGUGGGGAGCGAACAGG
rnacentral:rRNA from 1 species